CGCAAUGGGCGGAAGCCUGACGCAGCGACGCCGCGUGAGGGAUGACGGCCUUCGGGUUGUAAACCUCUUUCAGCAGGGACGAAUGUAGACGGUACCUGUAGAAGAAGCACCGGCCAACUACGUGCCAGCAGCCGCGGUAAUACGUAGGGUGCGAGCGUUGUCCGGAAUUAUUGGGCGUAAAGAGCUCGUAGGCGGUCUGUCGCGUCGAAUGUGAAAACCCGGGGCUCAACUCCGGGCUUGCAUUCGAUACGGGCAGGCUAGAGUUCGGUAGGGGAGUCUGGAAUUCCUGGUGUAGCGGUGAAAUGCGCAGAUAUCAGGAGGAACACCGGUGGCGAAGGCGGGACUCUGGGCCGAUACUGACGCUGAGGAGCGAAAGCGUGGGGAGCGAACAGGUAUUGGAUACCCUGGUAGUCCACGCCGUAAACGUUGGGCGCUAGGUGUGGGGGUCCUUCCACGAUCUCCGUGCCGCAGCUAACGCAUUAAGCGCCCCGCCUGGGGAGUACGGCCGCAAGGCUA
rnacentral:rRNA from 1 species